UACGUAGGGGGCUAGCGUUGUCCGGAUUUAUUGGGCGUAAAGAGCGUGUAGGCGGCCAGGUAGGUCUGCUGUGAAAACUCGGAGCUCAACUCCGAGCCUGCGUUCGAGACUGGAUGGCUAGAGUCUGGUAGGGGGAUCUGGAAUUCCUGGUGUAGCGGUGGAAUGCGCAGAUAUCAGGAGGAACACCGAUGGCGAAGGCAAUCCCCUGGGCCUGCACUGACGCUCAUGCACGAAAGCGUGGGGAGCAAACAGG
rnacentral:rRNA from 1 species